UUUCAUUUUCCCAUUUUUUUUCUCUUCUUCUGAUGAUAAGUUUGAACUAAUGUUGAUUUUUCCCCCUAGUAGAGAUGCUGAACAUAGAUUGAGAGUGUUAAUACUCGAAAACAAGUUUAGCAAACUGAUAUGAAUCCUCAAUCCUUUUGUUAGUGAGGUGGUUUAGGAAGGCAAGAGUCCUUAAAUAGCAAAAUUAUUUAUGUGGACACUUCACUGAACAGCGUUAACACUCAACACGAUAGGUUUUCUCAUUUGGGUCGAGUUGGUGUCCUCGUAAGGAUGCUGAGGAAUGACUCCCGAAGUUGCUUUCGGAUUGGUGGUUUAGGGAUAAAGCAAGAAUGCUUUGGUUACAUGUUAUUAGAGCUCACUUGGAAGGAAAAGAAUGAGAAGCUUUUCAAAGAUAAGUUAAAUGCCAUUCACAAGCCUAUUUGUAAUUACUCUUAUCUUUUCUAUCAACUUAGAUUGGAGGCAUUUUGUUUGAUCCUCUUAGGCAUGAGAAUAUCUUGUAGAUUGGUUUGUCGUUUUGAAAUUGAUGGUGGGAGCACGAGUUUUAGAUGUGUAAUCUUUACCCUUUUGUUGAGUUGAUCAUUUAUUGGCUCAAAAACCUUGACUAAUUUGGUGAAUGACAAUCUUAUUCCUUUGGCCAAUUUUUUGUUUUAGCUAUACCACUACUCACCUCAUUUCGGUUGAGUACUAGCAAAAAUACCUUAUCUUUUGUUUAUUAUGGUCUUCAUCAUAGAUUUAGACAUUUUUUUGAUACUAACAAGGCUAGGUUCCUCUAAAGAGCUAUCGAUCAAUGUUACACCUUGAAGUUCAUAUUGAUUUAUUUUUUAUCCAUGCAUAUGAAUUUAUUUUUUCAUUGAUGAGUGAACUGCAAGGAGUUUAGUGGGCUCCAAAUACCAAAAGGUGAAUUACAAAAGUGCUGUCCAAUUAGAAAUCAAAGAAGAUAGACUAUAAUCUCUUAAAGGGUGUCUAUGUUUGCACUUAUACAAAGCACGAAAUAAAAUCAAAUCCUGCACUGAGAAUACGUGUGUUCCUCUUGU